AGAUUGAACGCUGGCGGCAGGCCUAACACAUGCAAGUCGAGCGGCAGCACGGGUACUUGUACCUGGUGGCGAGCGGCGGACGGGUGAGUAAUGCCUAGGAAUCUGCCUGAUAGUGGGGGGAUAACGUUCGGAAACGGACGCUAAUACCGCAUACGUCCUACGGGAGAAAGUGGGGGAUCUUCGGACCUCACGCUAUCAGAUGAGCCUAGGUCGGAUUAGCUAGUUGGUAGGGUAAAGGCCUACCAAGGCUACGAUCCGUAACUGGUCUGAGAGGAUGAUCAGUCACACUGGAACUGAGACACGGUCCAGACUCCUACGGGAGCAGCAGUGGGAAUAUUGGACAAGUGGGACGAAAGCCUGAUCCAGCCAUCGCCGCGUGUGUGAAGAAGGUCUUACGGAUUAGAAAGCUAGUUUAAGGUUGGGAGGAAGGCAGUUAGACCUUAAUACGUUAGUGUUUUAGACGUUACCGACAAGAAUAAGCACCGGACUAACUCUGUCGCCAGC
rnacentral:rRNA from 1 species